CAGUAACGCGUAGUCAACCUACCUUAUGGACGGGGAUAACCUCGGGAAACUGAGAAUAAUACCCGAUAGAACAUUAUGCCUGGAAUGGUUUAUGUUUCAAAUAAUUUAUUGCCGUAAGAUGGGACUGCGGCCUAUCAGUUUGUUGGUGAGGUAAUGGCCCACCAAGACUAUUACAGGUACGGGCUCUGAGAGGAGUAGCCCGGAGAUGGGUACUGAGACACGGACCCAGGCCCUAUGGGGCGCAGCAGGCGAGAAAACUUUGCAAUGUGCGAAAGCACGACAAGGUUAAUCCGAGUGGUUUCUGCUAAAGGAACCUUUUGUCAGUCCUAGAAACACUAACGAAUAAGGGGUGGGCAAGUUCUGGUGUCAGCCGCCGCGGUAAAACCAGCACCUCAAGUGGUCAGGAUGAUUAUUGGGCCUAAAGCAUCCGUAGCUUGCUUUGUAAGUUUUCGGUUAAAUCCAUAUGCUCAACGUAUGGGCUGCCGGGAAUACUGCAAAGCUAGGGAGUGGGAGAGGUAGACGGUACUCGGUAGGAAGGGGUAAAAUCCUUUGAUCUAUUGAUGACCACCUGUGGCGAAGGCGGUCUACCAAAACACGUCCGACGGUGAGGGAUGAAAGCUGGGGGAGCAAACCGGAUUAGAUACCCGGGUAGUCCCACCUGUAAACUAUGCAAACUCGGUGAUGCAUUGGCUUGAUGCCAAUGCAGUGCCGCAGGGAAGCCGUUAAGUUUGCCGCCUGGGUAGUACGUACGCAAGUAUGAAACUUAAAGGAAUUGGCGGGGGAGCACCACAAGGGGUGAAGCCUGCGGUUC
rnacentral:rRNA from 1 species